UGACGGGGACCCGCACAAGUAGUGGAGCAUGUGGUUUAAUUGGAAGAUACGCGCAGAACCUUACCAACACUUGACAUGUUCGUCGCGACUCUAAGAGAUUAGAGUUUUCGGUUCGGCCGGACGAAACACAGGUGCUGCAUGGCUGUCGUCAGCUCGUGUCGUGAGAUGUUGGGUUAAGUCCCGCAACGAGCGCAACCCUCACUUUUAGUUGCCAUCAUUAAGUUGGGCACUCUGAAAGAACUGCCAGUGAUAAGCUGGAGGAAGGUGGGGAUGACGUCAAGUCCUCAUGGCCCUUACGUGUUGGGCUACACACGUGCUACAAUGGCAUCUACAACAGGAAGCAAAACGGCAACGUUAAGCAAAUCCCGAAAAGAUGCCUCAGUUCGGAUUGCACUCUGCAACUCGAGUGCAUGAAGCUGGAAUUACUAGUAAUCGUGGAUCAGCGUGCCACGGUGAAUGCGUUCCCGGGUCUUGUACACACCGCCCGUCACACCAUGGGAGUUGGUUCUACCUUAAGGCAAGGCUUUAAACCCUUGACCACGGUAUAGUCAGCGACUGGGGUGAAGUCGUAACAAGGUAACCGUA
rnacentral:rRNA from 1 species